rnacentral:rRNA from 1 species
AGAACGAACGUUAGCGGUGUGGAUUAGGCAUGCAAGUCGAGCGUGAAAGUUCCCUUCGGGGAGCGAGUAAAGCGGCGAAAGGGUGAGUAACACGUAAUCAACCUACCCCCUUGACCGGAAUAACCAGUGGAAACGCUGGCUAAUGCCGGAUGGCCCUGCGGUGUGGCAUCGCGCUGCAGGUAAACGGUAGCUUCGGCUUCUGUAAGGGGAGGGGAUUGCGGCCUAUCAGCUAGUUGGUGGGGUAAUGGCCUACCAAGGCGAUGACGGGUAGCCGGUCUGAGAGGACGAUCGGCCACACUGGGACUGAGACACUGCCCAGACUCCUACGGGAGGCUGCAGUCGAGGAUCUUCCGCAAUGGGCGAAAGCCUGACGGAGCGACACCGCGUGCAGGAUGAAGGCCUUCGGGUUGUAAACUGCUGUCACGCUAUAGGAAUGUCUGGUCGUUAAUAGCGGCCAGGUUGACUAAAGCGAGAGGAAGCACCGGCUAACUCCGUGCCAGCAGCCGCGGUAAGACGGAGGGUGCAAACGUUGUUCGGAUUCACUGGGCAUAAAGCGCACGUAGGCGGCUCGUUUAGUCAGACGUGAAAUCCCCCGGCUCAACCGGGGAAUGGCAUCUGAUACUGGCGGGCUCGAGGUCGAUAGGGGUGAGCGGAACUCCAGGUGGAGCGGUGAAAUGCGUAGAUAUCUGGAGGAACACCGGUGGCGAAAGCGGCUCACUAGGCCGACACUGACGCUAAGGUGCGAAAGCUAGGGUAGCAAACGGGAUUAGAUACCCCGGUAGUCCUAGCCGUAAACGAUGGGAACUAGGUAGGGGGGUUGCCUAUGAGCCUCUCUGCCGGAGCUAAUGUGUUAAGUCCCCGCC